rnacentral:rRNA from 1 species
AGUGAACGCUGGCGGUAGGCCUAACACAUGCGAGUCGAACGGCAGCACAGUAAGAGCUUGCUCUUACGGGUGGCGAGUGGCGGACGGGUGAGGAAUACAUCGGAAUCUACUUUUUCGUGGGGGAUAACGUAGGGAAACUUACGCUAAUACCGCAUACGACCUACGGGUGAAAGCAGGGGAUCUUCGGACCUUGCGCGAUUGAAUGAGCCGAUGUCGGAUUAGCUAGUUGGCGGGGUAAAGGCCCACCAAGGCGACGAUCCGUAGCUGGUCUGAGAGGAUGACACACUAGACCGAAAGUGAGACACGGGCCAGUACUCCAGGCGGGGGGGAGGUGUGAAAAAUGGGGACAUGGCCGCAAACCUGAUCCAGCCAUGCGGGGUGGGUGAAGAAGGCCGGCGGUUUGUAAUGCUCUUUUGUUGGACAAGAAAAACAGCAGUCUCAUACCCAGCUGUUAGGCCGGUAACGAAAGAAUAACCACCGGCUAACUUGGUGACAGCAGCGGCGAAAAAAUCGAAUAGCACCUGUCUGAAC